AUAGUUUCCAUUAAAAAGUCAAGCCCUUAAAACAUUAAAAUUCGAGUGAGGAAAAAUAUCGACUUGGGUAAGAUCUUUGGGGCUCAACCCGCGUAAGCUUCCCCGCGUCAAGCCAUCGCCACGCCUUCAGUUCAUGCGAGCGGGUACAUGACCCCGCGUGAGACUGGUGUUGACGUCUCUUCCGGUGCGAGCGGGUAUGCGAUCCCGCGUCACUGAACCCGCGUGAGAUUGUCGAUGCGUCUUCCUGGCCUCGUCCAAGCCGCGUCGUGAACCUGCGGUCUCUUCCAUCACUGGCUCGACUCGCGGAGGUCGUCGCUUCAAGCUUCUGUCGUGGUGGUGGUUGAGCUCGUGCUCUCAGCUCGUGGUCGCGUGCUCAGCUCUUCGUCGCCGUCGAGAUCGAGCUUCAACGUCUCGGAGUUUCGACGCGACCAAGCUUCUUCGUCGCUUCUCGUCAUCGGCUUCUCCACCACGGGAUCUCUGGUCCAAGUCAUCUCCUCCUCGCCGUGAUCGGAUCUCCAGGCCGUGGUAUCCGCCUCCGCCGUCGUGCUCGUCAUCUGCUCGUAACGGAGGAAUCACGAUGCAACAAUGGUGGAUUUGAGACUUUUUGCACAUCUGGUCCUUAUUCUUUUGGCUAUUUACGAAUUGACCCCAAAACUAUCAAAAGUGCAGAAAGGUCCACCCGAAUCAACCCCAAAGUUUCCAAUCGUACGAUUUAGCCCAGGCGAAUAUUCAGAAUUUGCAACUUUGGUCCCUGGAUUCUUGUUAACAUCACAGUGGACCCAAAACUUCCAAAAUGUGCAAUUUAACCCUUGAAUUUCGCCCUAAACUUCCAAAUGAGCAUUCCAACCCUAUGAUAUGCAAAUGAGUAUGCAAAUGCAACACAAAGACUUAAAUGCAACCUAAAAUGAUCAUAAUAAGCUAAAAAAUGAAUCUAAAGCUUAUGAAAAUCAUGAGAUAUCAAUUACAACCUAUAAACAGUAUUUGUAAUGAAUUUUUUGCAGCCGAGAAUCUGACGUUGCCGUAUCUAACACCGUACUUGGAUUCGGUUGGAGCUAAUUAUCGGCAUGGGGCUAAUUUUGCGACUGGCGGUUCUUGCAUCCGCCCCACCGUUGCUUGUUUUAGUCAGUUCCAUCUUGGAACUCAAGUGUCUCAGUUCAUUCACUUCAAGACUCGUACAUUGUCUCUUUACAACCAAACCAACGGAAAAACUCCAUUCUGCAAAGGAGUCCUUGCACGGCCUAAAGAUUUCUCAAAGGCUCUUUAUACUUUCGAUAUCGGUCAGAAUGAUCUCGCCAUCGGGUUCCAAAACAUGACAGAGGAACAACUCAAAGCAACUAUACCGGCAAUCAUCGAAAGCUUCACUACUGCUAUAAAAGUAAGUAACAAAAUGAACGGUAUGAUUAUCAUAAAGUUCAAUAUUACUCAUCUAAAUUUUUUAAUGACAUCAUACUUUAUAGUUUAUACUGAUUGGUAUAUAUUUUUUUAGUUGCUGUUCAAAGAAGGAGCAAGAUUCUUCUCAAUUCACAACACCGGACCAACGGGUUGUUUACCCUAUCUUCUGAAAUCAUUUCCGGCUACACCGCGAGAUCAGUAUGGUUGCUUGAAGCCUCUAAACAAUGUGGCAAUUGAGUUCAACAAACAACUCAAGCAGAAAAUCUCUGAACUGAACAAAGAGUUACCUUAUUCUCUCUUAACUUAUGUUGAUGUCUACUCAGCCAAAAGCCAUUUGAUCACCAAAGCAAAGAAUCUUGGUUUUGUUGAUCCUUUUGAUUAUUGUUGCGUUGGGGCGGUCGGACGUGGAAUGGGAUGCGGAAAGACAAUAUUUCCAAAUGGAACAGAACUUUAUAGUUCUUCGUGCCAAAACCGAAAAAAUUUCAUAAGCUGGGAUGGUAUACAUUACUCGGAAACCGCGAAUAUGCUAGUCGCAAAUCGGAUCCUCGAUGGAUCAAUAUCCAAUCCGCCUAUCCCAACCCAAAAAGCUUGCAAGCUUACGAAAAAUGUAGUUGGCAAAAUAUGAAUUAAUAAAUGUUUAAGAAUAGCCGAAUGGUUUGAUUCUGCCGUUAUCUAAUCAUUGUCGACUGUUGGAGGGUGCUCUUUUCUUUUAACUCGUUCGCAGCUCGAAACCCUAUUAGAUACUCCCUCAGUUCCACGAAGAUAAUUUUUUUAGUAUUUUCACACAUAUUAAGAAAACACUGCCAUAAUAAAUGUAUAAUUUUAUGUAAUUUUUAAUUUUCAAUAACUUUUAACCAAUAAUAAUUCAAUAAAGUCAAUUAAUUUUCUUGAAGUUUACAAUUUUUUCAUAGAAAACACAAAAAAUAUAUCUUUCUCAAAACAAACUUUUUUUCUAAAAAAUUUAUCGUUAAGGAACGGAGGGAGUGUUAUUUAGUACUUCCUCUGUUUCAAUUUUCUUUUUGUCACCACUUCUUCUGUUUCAAUAUAUUUGAUGUUUUAGAUUAUUUUUUAUUUCAUGAUUAAAUUUUGUUUUCGUCAAUUGUAAUUGUUUCUUUCUAUUUAUAAUUAAAUAAAUUGAUUUUUAAUUAUAUUUUAAUGAUAUUUCUGAUAAAAAAGAUACUUCCUCCAUUUCAAAUAGAUGUUUUCAUGAAGUUUUUGAAGUUUCAAAAUAGACUAUGUUUUUAUAUUUCAAUGUGACUUUUAACUUUAUCAAAAACUGUGUAACCAAUGAUAUUUUGUAUUUUAUUUUGUAAUUGGUUGAAUAAUUUUAAAUUUAUAUUUAAUGAUACUUUUUAAACGAAAAAUAAGUUUCUUAAUUGUUGUGCAUUAGCGUAAAACUUCAUGUAUUUUGAUAUAUAAUGAUUAGUUUUCUUAAUAUUUGUUCAUGUGUAAAACAUUAUAUAAUAUGAAACAUUAUCAUUAUUCAAUAUUCUCUCCAUUUCUAAAUAUAAGAUGUUUAAAGAGUUUUUGAUGUUUUAAUGUGUAAGAUGUUCCAUAAAUAAUCUUUUGACAUUGUUAAAAUUUGUGUAACCAAUUAUAUUUACUAGUCUAUUUUGUAAUUGAUUGAAUAGUUUAUAAUUAUAGUUUUAUGUCCUAUUAGAUUAAAAAAUAAUUUUUUUAAUAUGCAUGUUUUAGAUGAAACAUUUUAUAUUUAGGAACGGAUAGAAUAACUUUUGGGUUAAUGUUUUUUGUUCUUUAUUUUCUUUUAACUCAAAGCAACUAUAUCGGCAAUCAUCGGAAGCUUCACUACUGCUAUGAAUAGAUGUUUCAAAAUUAUUUUCCAAUUAGAAAGAUAUAUAAUAUAGGCAAAAAACCCACCAAACUGAACCACAUAUAUAGGUAAAAAUAAAUUCCAUCGUAAAACUAAAAUCCAAAAAGCUUAUUGAUUUUCUUGGUCAAACAAGCAUCUUUAAAUCUUUUUAAAGGUUCUCUGAAUUUACAUUUUUAUCAAAUUACUUUUCUUUCCCACCUUUUACAAGCAAAAAAACAAAAGAGAAGAACAUUAUGUUUGCUUUAGGUGUACGAAUGGUUGUGGAGGAAGGUUGACUGCCUCAUAGUGGCUUCAUGUUUUUCCAAUGAGUCCAUGGCCAAUUCAUUCUUGUAUGCAUGUAUCUCUUUCUAUUUAGAUUUCAGUGAAGUUAAAGAAUAAUGAGAAAUGUUAUACCUCGAUUUAUAGAGGAAAAUAAUCUUUAAAACUAGCUAGAC